GUUGCUUCUGUGGAAUUAACUUCAGCUCUCAGGCUCUCAACAGCCUUCCGCAGCUUACCACAAACAACAGUAACAGGAUCUUGGAUUCUCUUUAACUCGUCAUCAGGAUCUGGCUCAUCAAUUUUCAUACUGGAUAUUUCCUGUGAGGUCACCAAAUCACUGUCAGGAUCAGGCUCGGUUCUCUUAGCUUGAGAUUCAUCAGGAUCAGGUUCUGUCAUUUCAGUCGACAGAGGGUUGUUCUGAUAUGGUUCAUGGAUGUUCACAUCUCGUGAACUGCUCUGUUUUGCUUCCAAGUCAUCUGGAUCAGGUUCAUCAAUAAUCAUGCUUUCAGCAGUUUUCUUUCUGGAUAUUUCCUGUGAGGCCACUAAAUCAUCAUCAGGAUCAGGCUCUGUCCGCAAAGUUAUGUUUGCUGGAGAUUCAUCAGGAUCAGGUUCUCUGUAAUCCUUAUCCAGUGAAGUAUAUUCCAUGCUUUCAGACACUAGAGAAAUGUUCUGAUCUGGUCCCUGGGUGUUUCUUUCUCCUGAAUUGCUCUGUUUUGUUUUUGAGUCAUCUGGAUCUGGUUCAUCAAUGGUUUUGCUAAGCUGAAUCCCACCGUUCAAAGUCUUCAUCAGCUGAGGGUGAUUACUCUGAGAAUCAUCAGGAUCAGGUUCAUACUUAAUUUGUUCAGAAGAAUGUUCAUCAGAAUCUGGCUCAUAAUCAAGUUUCAACUGAACCUUGUGCGGAGUUUCAAUGUCUAUAUUUUCUUCUCUUGCAAGACCAUUGUUCUGAUAUGGUCCCUGGAUGUUUCUGUAUCCUGAAUUGCGCUGUUUUGUUUCUGAGUCAUCUGGAUCUGGUUCAUCAAUGAUCUUGCUUAGCUGAAUCCCACUUCUCAAAGUCUCCAUCAGCAGAGGGUGAUUACUCUGGGAAUCAUCAGGAUAAGGUUCAUACAUACUUUGAUCACCAGAAUGUUCAUCAGGAUCUGGCUCAUAAUCAGGUUCCAAAUGAACCUUGUGUGGGUUUUCGAUGUCCAUAUUUUCUUCUCUCCCAUGAUCUAUGAUAUCAGAUCUAUCAUUAAUGCUGAAACUGGAAUCAUCAGGGUCAGGUUCUUUAUAUUUGCCAUAAUCUUCCAAACUGUUA
rnacentral:lncRNA from 1 species